rnacentral:rRNA from 1 species
UUGAAUUGAAGAGUUUGAUCAUGGCUCAGAUUGAACGCUGGCGGCAGGCUUAACACAUGCAAGUCGAACGGUAGCAGGAGAAAGCUUGCUUUCUUGCUGACGAGUGGCGGACGGGUGAGUAAUGCUUGGGAAUCUGGCUUAUGGAGGGGGAUAACUACUGGAAACGGUAGCUAAUACCGCGUAAUGUCUACGGACUAAAGGGUGGGACCAUUUGGCCACCUGCCAUAAGAUGAGCCCAAGUGGGAUUAGGUAGUUGGUGAGGUAAAGGCUCACCAAGCCCGCGAUCUCUAGCUGGUCUGAGAGGAUGACCAGC